rnacentral:rRNA from 1 species
UACGAAGGGGGCUAGCGUUGCUCGGAAUCACUGGGCGUAAAGCGCACGUAGGCGGCUUUCUAAGUCAGGGGUGAAAACCUGGAGCUCAACUCCAGAACUGCCUUUGAUACUGAGGAUCUUGAGUUCGGGAGAGGUGAGUGGAACUGCGAGUGUAGAGGUGAAAUUCGUAGAUAUUCGCAAGAACACCAGUGGCGAAGGCGGCUCACUGGCCCGAUACUGACGCUGAGGCACGAAAGCGUGGGGAGCAAACAGG